UGAGCCGGACGGAUGAUCGCGGCUGCUUCUGGCAGACGAGGAAAGUCCGGGCUUCACAGGGCAGGAUGCCGGAUAACGUCCGGUGGAGGCGACUCCCAGACCAGUGCAACAGAAAUAAACCGCCGCUUAUGCGGUAAGGGUGGAAAGGCAGUGUAAGAGACUACCGCCCGUGUGGUAACAUGCGGGGCACAUGUAAACUCCAUUCGAAGCAAGACCAAACAGGAAACGAUGCAGUGGCCCGCUGGGUUUCCAGGUAGGUCGCUCGAGCCUGUCGGUAACGGCAGGCCUAGAUAGAUGAUCAUCCAAGACAGAACCCGGCUUACAGUCCGGCUCAUCCG
rnacentral:RNase_P_RNA from 1 species